UUUGCUUGCAAACCAAAGCUGGCGACCGGCGCACGGGUGAGUAACACGUAUCCAACCUGCCUCAUACUCGGGGAUAGCCUUUCGAAAGAAAGAUUAAUAUCCGAUAGCAUAUAUUUCCCGCAUGGGUUUUAUAUUAAAGAAAUUCGGUAUGAGAUGGGGAUGCGUUCCAUUAGUUUGUUGGGGGGGUAACGGCCCACCAAGACUACGAUGGAUAGGGGUUCUGAGAGGAAGGUCCCCCACAUUGGAACUGAGACACGGUCCAAACUCCUACGGGAGGCAGCAGUGAGGAAUAUUGGUCAAUGGACGCGAGUCUGAACCAGCCAAGUAGCGUGAAGGAUGACUGCCCUAUGGGUUGUAAACUUCUUUUAUAUGGGAAUAAAGUUGUCCACGUGUGGAUUUUUGUAUGUACCAUAUGAAUAAGGAUCGGCUAACUCCGUGCCAGCAGCCGCGGUAAUACGGAGGAUCCGAGCGUUAUCCGGAUUUAUUGGGUUUAAAGGGAGCGUAGGCGGAUUGUUAAGUCAGUUGUGAAAGUUUGCGGCUCAACCGUAAAAUUGCAGUUGAUACUGGCAGUCUUGAGUGCAGUAGAGGUGGGCGGAAUUCGUGGUGUAGCGGUGAAAUGCUUAGAUAUCACGAAGAACUCCGAUUGCGAAGGCAGCUCACUGGAGUGUAAC
rnacentral:rRNA from 1 species